AAUGAGAGUGAUGAGUUGCACACUGGUGGAGCCAUGGUAUCAGGUGAUAUAAGAACCACUCAGUACCACCCUGGUGAAAAAAAUCAAGUGCACACAAAAAAAAUUAAA
rnacentral:snoRNA from 1 species